rnacentral:tRNA from 2 species
GUCUCCUUAGCUCAGUUGGUAGAGCAACUGACUCUUAAUCAGUGGGUCUAGAGUUCGAAUCUCUAAGGGGACACCA